AGUGAGCUGCCAGAGAACUCAGGUGGCGUUGGCAGCAUUUUGGGGUGAAAACUCCUAUUCCCCUUGUUUUUCCAGUACUUCCCACAGUGCCAGGUGAUUAGGCAUUAUGGAAGGGAAAAGCAGCACAAAACACAAGGGAAACCUGGAGAUAUUUAAAGCCCGUCUGGACACCUACCUGGGCAACCUGCUCUAGGGAACCUGUUUUGGCAGGGGGGUUGGACCCAAUGAUCUCUUGAGGUCCCUUCCAACCCCUACAAUUCUGUGAUUCUGUGAUUGAGCAUGUUAAAUGCUUAAAGAGCUGCUCUCCGUGCCAAAGAGCUGCACCAGGGGCCACCUUGGUGUGGCGGGAUGGGGAUCUGAUGGCUCUUUUUCUUAUGGGGUUUGGUUAUAAGGCAUGAGUCUGCAUCCACUCAGCUUGGCAAUAAACCUUCUUUUCUUUUUCAGAAUGAGAGAAUAACACCAGUCCAGCAGUAAAUAAAGGUUACGAUACCCAAUAUAAACAUUCAUUGGCAUCCUACGCCCACAUGGCUGCAUGUUGCCUGGUUACAAGUAUAAAAGGCUAUUGGCUUAUUUAUCUAGGAAAUCUGUCCUGGGUAUAACCUCAUGUCUGCAUUUAAACCAGAGUAAUUCACUCGGAGCAAACAACAGUAUAGGUGAUCUCAGCGUGGUCUGCCUCUUUGGCCCCCGUAAUUUUCCAGCUCACCCCAAAUAAACCUGAUUUUAAGUGACUGAAGCCUCCAAAGGGGGCUGACAAUGCCGGUGGGUAACCUGCCAGUGAUUUAAUUAAUGUGGGUGGCUAUUUUUGUGCUCAUAAACCACACUGAGGGCAGUUGUUCUUGUCUGUUCCUACACCCUGGCUGCAUUUCUGGACUGGAGCAUCCUCUCCAGCCCUGCUGCUGCCCGCGGUGCCAGCUGGGCUGUCUGCUGGCGGCGAUGCGAGCUGGUUUUCUUCCUCCUUUUUCACCCAGAGCUGCCACGUUGUUCGCACUGUACCUGCUACGGCAUCGCCUGGAGCCCACAGCGUUGCAGCGAUGGGUCGAGUGACCCAGAGAGAGGGAAUUAUAUGUAGAAAGGCAGGAGAUAGAGAUGUCAUUAGAGAGAAGCUGGGAGUCGGGAGAGCACCUCCAGGCCUUUUUUUUUUUUUUUUUGUGGAUGAAAGGAGCUUACUUCAGUGAAUAGCAUGAUUAUAUUCAGAUUCCCAUUUAGGCUGCUCCAAGUUGUACAACAAAAGGAAUAUUAAAUGAUACUGCAAAAUUCAUGUUACAAAUCAAUGUAACCUGCAUAAAUCAGCCCAGCCCAGGCAGGAAGGUAGGGCUUGCUUUUCUCAAAGUGGCUGCUUUAGAAAUGAGACACAGCCUUGGAAAUGAAAGGGGCUGCGUCCGGCUGCAGAAGACCUUAGAAGAACACCAUGCCUUCAGCCUGCUGCAUCUCCUUACUCCCUUAUUUUUUUUCCAGGGCACAAACUGAUCUGGUUAGAGGAGGUUUUAGGAGUUUAUGCAUUUUUUCAGAGCUAAAACUCUUUGUACACAGAAAAUGUCCCCUCUCUUCUGGGUUUAACUGCUUUUCACCUCCCAUCCCACCAGAGCUGGGCCAGGCCAGCAGAGCUGUCCCGGUUUCCCCAGCUCUGCUCAGCACAAGGCAGUAGAUCCGUGCCAUGCUGGAGCUCAACUUCUCCAAAAAGUGUGAUUUUACAGGUAUGUUUUGCAGCCUGAACA